AUUGUUGAUAUGUACCCGGUGAUACUUGAGGUGCUUGUAAGGAUUGGAAAAGAUCCUUCACAAAAGAGAUCAAGAUAUUCUCAAUGCAAUGGCGCUUGUUGGAUUGGCAAAGGAGAAAAUGAAGGAUAUGAGGUCAUCACUUGGAUGGGAAAGAUUUCUUGCAAAUGUGACAUUCUUUUGCAACACUCAUGGCAUUGAAGUUCCUUCCCCAUAAUCUAAUUAUGUGGCUCAUGGAAGAUCACAACGGUAUUAUGAAAAGCAAACAAAUGAUGAUCGUUAUAGAAGAGAAGUGUAUCUUGGUGUUGUUGAUCAAGUUAUUCAAGAGCUUGAUAAUCGGUUUGAUGAGGUUAACAUGGAGUUGCUUAUUUGUAUGGCGGCUUUGAAUCCCGUGAAUUCAUUUGCUUCUUAUGAUGCACAAAAGGUAAUGAGACUUGCUCAAUUCUACCCCAAUGACAUAUCAAGCAUGGAUUUGUUAAGACUUGAACCCCAACUUGAGAUCUUUAUUGAUGACAUGAGAAAAGAUGAUAGAUUCAAAUGUGUCAAUCAUCUUGGUGAGCUCUCUAUUAAGCUUGUUGAAACAAAAAAGCAUGUUGUUUAUGAUUUAGUUUACAUGCUUCUCAAAUUGAUAUUGCUUCUACCGGUGGCGACGGCGAAUGUUGAAAGAGUAUUUUCCGCAAUGAGUCUAGUGAAAAACAAGUUGAGAAAUAGUAUGGGUGAUAACCUCUUAAACCAUUGCUUAGUGACAUUUAUCGAGCGAGGGGUGUUCAUUCAUGUAAGUGAUGAUACCAUUGUUGAAACUUUCAUGGCAAUGCGAAACCGUAGAUUGAAGAAAUGAUGUAAGUUUCUAAUUAUGCUAUAUUCUACAUGUAAGACCCUUGUAAUGUUUUGAACUAUUUGUAUUGUAAUCGUGCACAUUUGAUAUAUGUGUUGAACUCCAAUGCAAUGAAUUUGUCUUGUAUAUUGUUCAUUA